UGAGGAAUAUUGGUCAAUGGACGCAAGUCUGAACCAGCCAUGCCGCGUGCAGGAUGACGGUCCUAUGGAUUGUAAACUGCUUUUGCACAGGAAGAAACAACAUUACGUGUAAUGUCUUGACGGUACUGUGAGAAUAAGGAUCGGCUAACUCCGUGCCAGCAGCCGCGGUAAUACGGAGGAUCCAAGCGUUAUCCGGAAUCAUUGGGUUUAAAGGGUCCGUAGGCGGUUUAGUAAGUCAGUGGUGAAAGCCCAUCGCUCAACGGUGGAACGGCCAUUGAUACUGCUAGACUUGAAUUAUUAGGAAGUAACUAGAAUAUGUAGUGUAGCGGUGAAAUGCUUAGAGAUUACAUGGAAUACCAAUUGCGAAGGCAGGUUACUACUAAUGGAUUGACGCUGAUGGACGAAAGCGUGGGUAGCGAACAGGAUUAGAUACCCUGGUAGUCCACGCCGUAAACGAUGGAUACUAGCUGUUGGAAGCAAUUUC
rnacentral:rRNA from 1 species